UUGGAGAAGGACCAGAAGACUUGAAGACUCCGAGGAACAGGCAAGCGGCCCUUUGACCAUGACUGUGAUACCCCUUUCUAUAUGCAUGUCAUUUUUAGCUCUUUAUUAUUGAUGCAUCGGAAUCAUGAUGAGAUGGUGAACCACGUGGGUUGGUUGCCACGAUUACUCCCUCGUUGAUACUUGCAUUGUGCAUGGCCCUACCUUCUUAUGAGGGUUAUGCCGGUGGGAGUAGAUAGGAUGCUAGUAGUGCUACGCAAAAGGGACGGGGAUAUGCAUGGUGAUGGAGACAAAAUAUUUUCAAAGACUUUUGAAAACCCCGUCGGGUGCCACUUAUGCCCGAGGGAGAUGAUGAGAUGGGUGACCACUUGAUGACGAAGUGGUGUGCCAAGCAAAGGGUGUGUUGAUUUCAAAACGGAUUGGUCGGAGUUGCGACCGUUAUUCCAACCUUACAUGCGCGACCACUCUACCCUUAUAUGGGAAAGGGCAUUGUUGAGUACCUAGACCGAUACUAGCUUGGAGCCCGCAUUACUAGUGACGGGGGAGAGUUGGUGCUCUCUCUUGGGACGGGUUCGUGCCAGGUAGGGCGGCCAUGACCAUCUUUAUGGGGCACCGGACACACCGUUGGUACCCCGUGCCAGUGGUAUGUGAUGAAUAUGGGAGCAAGGCUCCACGAAAAUGUUAUGUGAGAUGUUGGGCACGGGGGUUACUGCCAAUCGAGUGGACUCCAUGUUAGUGUCGUCUAGGGAAAGAUAGUGAUCGGGUGCUUACCCCGGGUACUUGAGGUACCGCGGGUCGUGGAUUGACACGGAAGUUCCCCGGAUCUAGUGGGUAAAGUGUGCAACCUCUGCAGAGUGUAAAACUAUUCGAAUAGCCGUGUCCACGGUCAAGGACAGUUGGGUAACCGCUCUUGGGCUAUGUCCACUUGUUUUCAAACCCGGUGUGUGUGAGAUGAUGGUGUUGUCUUGGAUCAAGUCAAAGGACUUGACACGAUUGAGAUGGGUUGGUGCCCACUCUGUUUAUGAUAAAUGGGUUGGUGCCCAUUCUAUUUAUGUUGAUAUCUGUGACCAGUUCUUAUGGUUACUUGAAUUCUCUUGAUGCAUGCUUUAUAGGAUGUUGAACAUGUCCUGCACUCAAAACUAGCUUUAUGCAAAACUUUACCUAUGUCAUGCAUUACCGUACCUUGAACCAAAUCAUGGGUUGCUUGCGAGUACAUUCAAAGUACUCAUUGGCUUGCCACUGGUUAUUUAAUUGACCAGGCAUGGAAGAACCGGAGUUCGGAGAUGAGUUCUUUGGAGACGAUCAUGCGAACUAGGACGUUUUCCCAGUCAGAAUGCCUGUAGGGUUAAGGCAGAUGGCAUGGGUUCUACUUAUCGACGACGUUGUCCGCUGCUAUGUUUCAUUUGAUGUUCAGCCCUUAAGGCUUUAUCGAUGUAAGACUUGACCAUGUUGGUCACUAUUUGUGUAAGACGGUAUGUAUGGAUGUAAGACUCUUGUUAUUCAGCUUCUGUGUGUUCACUGAGCAUUGAUCUCUGGGAUCACUGUACACGUGCAUUCGGUGAUCACGACUUGCGAGUCGGGGUCCCCACAGAGCUGGUAUCAGAGCCAUCCUGACUGUAGGAAGCCUUAGUUAGCAUGGUCGUUAGUUAGGGUAAAACUAUUUCCAAAACUACUACUAGUUUUCAAAACUAUCUAUUCUUCUCUUUCCCCUUCUGAGUUUUUCGAAAGCUAAGAUAUACUUUCCUCAUCCCCCGCUCUUGGUGUCGACGUUAUUAUCAACGUAACCGACAUGAUGGACCUCUAUUAUGCCUUGAUAAUGUCAUUUCAUAAAGGAUUGCCUACCUGGUACCAUCGAUGGCUUAGAAGACGAGAAGGGAUCAUCAUGAUUAAGAAGACAACAGAAGACCGAGUCAAUGCCUGCUAUGAGAAGCCACCUUCACCCCAUCACUUCAACAGGCAAGAAGUUGUUGAAGACUCUUCAAGCUUAACCGGGAUCAUUCCAUCAAACAACUACAAGAGACGUAGCAGCACCUGAGGGGAAACCCGGGAGACUGCACGAGGCACAAGGCACGACUAUGGAGUCCGAGAACCCCUAGGGUAGGAUGAGUCGUGUACCCCCUAUGCGCAGUCGAGUCCGUAUGAUGGUUCGAGUAGAACCAUUACUGUGUGUUGCUUGUUUUUAUUUGUUUGUGUUUUGAUAUAAGUCGCACUUUUGCCUUAGGCGACAAGUACGCGACUAUAUCACCUGCCUUAUUUUGUUGUUGUGUUUGACCCUUUUUGGCACUUGUUUGUUCGCACUUGCACUAUAGAACCCCCUUAGGCGUUCCCCUCCUCUAUGCUACUUCCCCCUCUCAUCUCUCUCCUCAACCGAAGACAAGCAAGAUAAUAUGCACCAAGGAUUUCAUCUCGGCGACCAACAAGCAUUGAUGACUUUCACUACAGCCUCCACGACCAAGUGCAACCCCGUAGAAUUAUGUUUAACCCUCAAGACUAGAAACCCAUUCCUAGACCUUUCGGGACUCCACGAGAUACCCCAGCCCGAAACCUUAACCAUGAGCUUAACCAACGGAAUUGCAAGAGAACCUGUUAAGCCUUCAUAACCUUGCUUAUCACUGGGUUCAUUAUGGAACUAGUGGACAUAGUGAAUGAGCACAUUAUAAUCCUAAGAUAGCACUAAAACUGACGAUGCCAUAGGAAGGACCAGUUUGAGGAUAUAGGAUUUGAGGACAGAUGACUUGGUGAGUUUAUAUCAGUAACUUUUGGGAAUUAUCUGAGACUCUUUGGUGGAUUAUAAGGCUACCAUGUUGGUAGAUGAACUUGGUGGGAUCAUGAUUAUAGAGUGGCAUAGCUUUCAUUACCCCUGAAUAAAUUGGAUUUAUAGGACAAUUAUGAUCGCAAGCUGAAACUCCUGGAAGUGCAAGGAUUUGACUUGAUUAGAUAAUAUUGAUUGGAGGCAGUUGAUAUUACGUAAAUGACUUGGGGGAAAGUGUAGGAAUUCUCGUUGGACAUGAGAUUUGGAUUUAAGAAGGUGAUUCUAGUUGGAUAUAGAUGCUGAGUAUGUCUACAUGGUUCGGAGUAAAUUGGAUUUUGACUGACGAUCUCGAUCAUGAUACCAUGUUUCUCGGUGGACGAUAAACUAGGAAAUUGGGCUAAUUGUCGGAAUUGAUUUAGGCAUCUUUGUGAGUUUGACCUUGGAGUAUUAUUAGAACACAAUAAUGGGAAUUGGUGGGCUAACUAUAGUAAGGAAACCCUUUCAAGUAUUGGGGAUUAUAAGGACUUUAGGAGAUCAUGUGGAACACCAGCAUAGGCGUUGGGUUAGUAGAAUUAAUGGAUUAUGUAGCGAUUAAUGGAAGUUAACAGGUUGUUGGAGUUGAUUCAUAGAAAGGAAACAAGAUUUUGGAGUGGCAUAUGACGUGUUUCCUUAAUACAGAGAUGCGCCAGUAUGGACCUUGGAGGAAUAGGAUGAGCACUUGGAUUGUCCUGUUUUAUUCCAGCUUGGAAGCUUGUAUGCUCUACCCAUGGAUUUUUAGGGGUGGCCGCACACACAUGAGUUUGGGGAUUAUAGACAUAUAUGAUUUUGUUAGAUCUCCUCUUGGGAGUCAUGAGGAUAUGAUUAGCAUGAGUGAUGAUUGGAGUUGACCUAUACGAAUGAUGCUUUCAAUAGUACAAGGUGAUCUGUUUGGAGGACUAGAUAGACUAUUGGCAUCUCAGAAACCGUGCUUAAAGAUAGGAGGAUAAAUGUUCAUUCGCACACUAGAAUCCUUGAAACCCUUAUGCCCUACCAAGCCACAACACGGUUGGAUCAUGACCUUGGGCCUUGGCUCUAGAUCAAUAAGACCUUGACCAAUGCUCAACCGUGACCCUCACCAAUGCCUCAGCCCACUCUGCGUACUCCAAAUACUUCAUAGAGUACUUGGGCAAGUAAAUUAUCAUCCUUACUUGAGGACAUGAAUGUCCGCACGAAGACGGAAGAAGAGUUGAUCAGCUGGUUAGGGAACAUCCGAAGACCGCCAUGUCAAGGAGGAAGAACUACACCAACCACCGUCGUCAAGGAAUGAGCUUCCGCAUUGAAAACCGUGCAUAUCUGCAAGCCACUCCUCUCAAAGGCAACUAUGGCCUCAUGAAGAAAACUAUGCUACUCAUGACCUGGAGCUAGCAGCAGUGGUUCAUGCCCUGAAGACAUGGCGACAUUACCUCUUACGGAAGGGAUGUGAGAUAUACACGGAUCACAAGGGUCUGAAGUAUAUUUUCACUCAAAAGGAAUUGAACACGAGGCAAAGAAGAUGGCUAGACUUGAUCAAAGAUUAUGACCUCAGUGUUCAAUACCACCCUAGGAAGGCUAAUGUGGUAGCAGAUGCAUUAAGCAGAAAGGCUUGUUCCUUGAAUGCUAUGCUUAAGGACAGGCUGCCCGCCUUGUAUGAAGAACUUGAAAGCUUCGGGUUGGAACUGGUUGCACCAGGAUUCUUAACUAACCUUGAAGUCAAGCCUUCAGGUGGCACCAUUUGAAGUGUUAUACGGACGGAAGUGCCGCAUACCCCUCAAUUAGUCAGAAACCGGAGAAGGACUUGUCUUUGGGCCUGAUAUCCUCCGUGAAACCGAAGAGCAAGUCCAGCUUGUCGGAGAGCGUUGGAGGACUGCCAAGUCAAGACGAAAGAACUACGCUGACUCAUGUCGUCGAGGCAUGACCCUCCGAGUUGGAGACCAUGUUUAUCUCCGGGUCACCCUCCCAAAGGAACCCAGCGCUUCCAUGUCAAAGGAAAGCUCGCCCCAAGAUUCAUCGGCCUUCUGCAGGAUCACUCCAAGAUUUAACAACCUCUUCUGAGAUCACUACGAGACGGAGAGAAGACAAUUACCAGCUGGAGUUGCCCCCUGAGCUACCUGAUGUGCACAAUGCUUUCCAUGCAUCACAACCCCGGAAGUGUUUCCAACUUCCUAGCUAGCCCGAGCACUAAUAAGGACAUUGACCACCGGGCCAUAGACCCCUAGCCCAAUCUAACCUACUGCGAGCUACACAUUAGCAGUUUGGAUCAAGAAGAGCGUCAUGCACGAAGCCACAACACCAGGUCCUUCAAGAUUCCAAGGAGCACCACUCAGUAGCAGAAGCAGUAUGAGGACGUGAAGACUACCCCAGAUCCAAGAUUCUGUACUCCUUUCCGCGCCUAGUCUAGGAAUCUCGGGGACGAGAUUCUUGUAAGGGGGGUAGGUCUGUCACACCCUGAUUUUCAUGGCACAACACUUAAGUCAUUAGAUCAUGCUGAAAUGUGGUUUGACAAAAACUUUUGAGUGUUUUGGACUUUGCUUGAUUUGAUUUUUGUCUGCUGUUUGCAAGUGCUCUAAAAAUCAAGUAAACCCUCCAACUUCUAUACUUCAUCUCCUUGAUCCAAAACCUUUCCCAAUGAUCAUGCCAUGUGUAUAGGAUAUAAAAAUAAUUUCUGGAAAAAAAUAAUUUGGCCAAAUAGUAUUUUCAAAAAUUAGUUUUCUAAAAACCCCCUAAAUUGAGGUUUGCACUGCAAAUACUUAAUUAAGGGCAGUAAAAAUCUUUCUAAAAAUGUAUUUGACUCCUAUUAGAUAUAGGAUACCCAGAAACCACAUAAAUAUAAUUUUAAAAGAUAUUUUCCUAUUUUAUUUAAAGGAUUUUUCUUAAGGCCAGAAAUGGUCUUUAAUAGGUAAAAAUUAUUUUAUUGCUUCAAAAACAUUUGACAAAAUUCAGGGAGACUCAUAGGACAUAUAUAGUCCAUAUAUAAGAGUUUCAACACAUGGUUAUGUUCAAAAUAUUGGUCAAACCCCUCAAAGACCCUUUCUGGAUAUUUCAAGCUUUUGAAAUAUUUACAAAGGAAAUAUUCUCCAAAUAUUCCAAGAAAAUUCUAUCAUGUCACAUAUGACAUAUUUGGUGAUCUUGCCAAGUCUCAUGACUUGGAGAACAAGAUAGCAUCAUCAAAACCUCUCAAAACCAUUUCUAUCCAUUUUGAAGUUUGAGCAACUUUACAUUGCCAAACAUGUCCAAAUGUUCUCAAACCUUGUGGACUUGCUCAAAUGGUCUAAUAAUUCAUCUAGACCAAAUGGCACAAGUUGGAGAGCAAGUUAACUUGAUCAAAGUGCCCCAAAACCCUUUCUGUCCAGAACCUUAUUUGAACAACUUUGCAUUACCAACUUUCUCUCCUUGACACCAACUUUUGUGAGCAUGAUCACAUGACCAAAUGAGGCCACCACACCAAGUGGUGCAUCAAGGAGAAGUGAUUUGCUCAACUAAAUCUACACAAGUUCAUUUCUGCUAAUUUCUAGGGUUUACCAAAGUUGCAUUGUCAACUUUCUUCAAAUGACCUCCAAAUUGGUGGGAGGCCCUAAUUAUAUGUGUCAUAUCACCCUAUGGAGUCUCAUGGCUUAUGGGGAUCAUCUACUUUCCCAAACCAACAUCAAACACCUUCUGGCAUUUUGCAAAAACCACUAUUUGGACCCCUUCCACUAAUCUCCAUGACUUCUCCUUUUUACCACAGCCCCUCCUAGUUCCCCUCUACCUCUGGUGUGCUUCCCUGCCCGAGAGGCAAUGAUUAAGGGGGGAAGGGCUCCAUUUUUCUUCUCUGGACAUCCACUUUUUCCUUCCUUUGUCAUCUCUCUCUCACCCCUGGCAUGUUGCAGAGCAUCCAAAGCUUCUUUCACCUUUGUUUAUCCCCCCUGCAGCUACCAGACACAAGUGGACGCGCGGGUGCGCGCAAAAAGCUGCGGGUGCCGGCCAUUCGCGCGCUCUGGAGCACGUCAACGUGCUCCCGACCGUUGACACGGCACUCCCGACCACCUCGAGCCUCCCCCUCGCGCCAGUCGAUGCUCCUCGACGUCCACAACACGACACCGAGCUGGCCCCCUCCUCCUUCUCCCUCCUGCUGCCUCCUUUCACACGCGCGCCGGCCGCCCGAGAGCUCCAAUGGGCAUGCUCACACGCGCGGCGCCCUGACACUCACCCGCUCCUUCUCUUCCCUCCUCUAGCCCUGGACCAACCCCACGAACACCCCAGACAUACCCACGCGCGCCCCCGUGACCUCCAGCGACGGCUAGGAGCUCGCCGGCGCACGAGUCCACGGCACCCCGCCGUUCGCUUAUUUAAAGGCACCGCCGAGCUCUCUCUGGCCUCCUUUCGCUCCCUCUCCCUCCUAUGAACCCCCUGAACCAACCCACUCCCCUCCUCGCGCCCUCCAUAGCCCUCCAUGGCCGGAGAUCCGCCGCCGGCCUCCACCUAAAUUCAGCCGAGCCCGAGCUCCUCUCCCUCUCCCCUCUCCACCAGCAGCCUCCCCUGAGCAAGGCGGAGCUCCCACGCUCUUUCCCUCGUCCGGGGACGCACCGUAGCGCCAUGCCCAAACUCACCCGACGCCACCGUCCGCCGGCAUCCAAGCCGCCGUCGCCUNNNNNNNNNNCCUCUUACGGAAGGGAUGUGAGAUAUACACGGAUCACAAGGGUCUGAAGUAUAUUUUCACUCAAAAGGAAUUGAACACGAGGCAAAGAAGAUGGCUAGACUUGAUCAAAGAUUAUGACCUCAGUGUUCAAUACCACCCUAGGAAGGCUAAUGUGGUAGCAGAUGCAUUAAGCAGAAAGGCUUGUUCCUUGAAUGCUAUGCUUAAGGACAGGCUGCCCGCCUUGUAUGAAGAACUUGAAAGCUUCGGGUUGGAACUGGUUGCACCAGGAUUCUUAACUAACCUUGAAGUCAAGCCUUCAGGUGGCACCAUUUGAAGUGUUAUACGGACGGAAGUGCCGCAUACCCCUCAAUUAGUCAGAAACCGGAGAAGGACUUGUCUUUGGGCCUGAUAUCCUCCGUGAAACCGAAGAGCAAGUCCAGCUUGUCGGAGAGCGUUGGAGGACUGCCAAGUCAAGACGAAAGAACUACGCUGACUCAUGUCGUCGAGGCAUGACCCUCCGAGUUGGAGACCAUGUUUAUCUCCGGGUCACCCUCCCAAAGGAACCCAGCGCUUCCAUGUCAAAGGAAAGCUCGCCCCAAGAUUCAUCGGCCUUCUGCAGGAUCACUCCAAGAUUUAACAACCUCUUCUGAGAUCACUACGAGACGGAGAGAAGACAAUUACCAGCUGGAGUUGCCCCCUGAGCUACCUGAUGUGCACAAUGCUUUCCAUGCAUCACAACCCCGGAAGUGUUUCCAACUUCCUAGCUAGCCCGAGCACUAAUAAGGACAUUGACCACCGGGCCAUAGACCCCUAGCCCAAUCUAACCUACUGCGAGCUACACAUUAGCAGUUUGGAUCAAGAAGAGCGUCAUGCACGAAGCCACAACACCAGGUCCUUCAAGAUUCCAAGGAGCACCACUCAGUAGCAGAAGCAGUAUGAGGACGUGAAGAUUACCCCAGAUCCAAGAUUCUGUACUCCUUUCCGCGCCUAGUCUAGGAAUCUCGGGGACGAGAUUCUUGUAAGGGGGGUAGGUCUGUCACACCCUGAUUUUCAUGGCACAACACUUAAGUCAUUAGAUCAUGCUGAAAUGUGGUUUGACAAAAACUUUUGAGUGUUUUGGACUUUGCUUGAUUUGAUUUUUGUCUGCUGUUUGCAAGUGCUCUAAAAAUCAAGUAAACCCUCCAACUUCUAUACUUCAUCUCCUUGAUCCAAAACCUUUACCAAUGAUCAUGCCAUGUGUAUAGGAUAUAAAAAUAAUUUCUGGAAAAAAUAAUUUGGCCAAAUAGUAUUUUCAAAAAUUAGUUUUCUAAAAACCCCUAAAUUGAGGUUUGCACUGCAAAUACUUAAUUAAGGGCAGUAAAAAUCUUUCUAAAAAUGUAUUUGACUCCUAUUAGAUAUAGGAUACCCAGAAACCACAGAAAUAUAAUUUUAAAAGAUAUUUUCCUAUUUUAUUUAAAGGAUUUUUCUUAAGGCCAGAAAUGGUCUUUAAUAGGUAAAAAUUAUUUUAUUGCUUCAAAAACAUUUGACAAAAUUCAGGGAGACUCAUAGGACAUAUAUAGUCCAUAUAUAAGAGUUUCAACACAUGGUUAUGUUCAAAAUAUUGGUCAAACCCCUCAAAGACCCUUUCUGGAUAUUUCAAGCUUUUGAAAUAUUUACAAAGGAAAUAUUCUCCAAAUAUUCCAAGAAAAUUCUAUCAUGUCACAUAUGACAUAUUUGGUGAUCUUGCCAAGUCUCAUGACUUGGAGAACAAGAUAGCAUCAUCAAAACCUCUCAAAACCAUUUCUGUCCAUUUUGAAGUUUGAGCAACUUUACAUUGCCAAACAUGUCCAAAUGUUCUCAAACCUUGUGGACUUGCUCAAAUGGUCUAAUAAUUCAUCUAGACCAAAUGGCACAAGUUGGAGAGCAAGUUAACUUGAUCAAAGUGCCCCAAAACCCUUUCUGUCCAGAACCUUAUUUGAACAACUUUGCAUUACCAACUUUCUCUCCUUGACACCAACUUUUGUGAGCAUGAUCACAUGACCAAAUGAGGCCACCACACCAAGUGGUGCAUCAAGGAGAAGUGAUUUGCUCAACUAAAUCUACACAAGUUCAUUUCUGCUAAUUUCUAGGGUUUACCAAAGUUGCAUUGUCAACUUUCUUCAAAUGACCUCCAAAUUGGUGGGAGGCCCUAAUUAUAUGUGUCAUAUCACCCUAUGGAGUCUCAUGGCUUAUGGGGAUCAUCUACUUUCCCAAACCAACAUCAAACACCUUCUGGCAUUUUGCAAAAACCACUAUUUGGACCCCUUCCACUAAUCUCCAUGACUUCUCCUUUUUACCACAGCCCCUCCUAGUUCCCCUCUACCUCUGGUGUGCUUCCCUGCCCGAGAGGCAAUGAUUAAGGGGGGAAGGGCUCCAUUUUUCUUCUCUGGACAUCCACUUUUUCCUUCCUUUGUCAUCUCUCUCUCACCCCUGGCAUGUUGCAGAGCAUCCAAAGCUUCUUUCACCUUUGUUUAUCCCCCCUGCAGCUACCAGACACAAGUGGACGCGCGGGUGCGCGCAAAAAGCUGCGGGUGCCGGCCAUUCGCGCGCUCUGGAGCACGUCAACGUGCUCCCGACCGUUGACACGGCACUCCCGACCACCUCGAGCCUCCCCCUCGCGCCAGUCGAUGCUCCUCGACGUCCACAACACGACACCGAGCUGGCCCCCUCCUCCUUCUCCCUCCUGCUGCCUCCUUUCACACGCGCGCCGGCCGCCCGAGAGCUCCAAUGGGCAUGCUCACACGCGCGGCGCCCUGACACUCCCCCGCUCCUUCUCUUCCCUCCUCUAGCCCUGGACCAACCCCACGAACACCCCAGACAUACCCACGCGCGCCCCCGUGACCUCCAGCGACGGCUAGGAGCUCGCCGGCGCACGAGUCCACGGCACCCCGCCGUUCGCUUAUUUAAAGGCACCCCCGAGCUCUCUCUGGCCUCCUUUCGCUCCCUCUCCCUCCUAUGAACCCCCUGAACCAACCCACUCCCCUCCUCGCGCCCUCCAUAGCCCUCCAUGGCCGGAGAUCCGCCGCCGGCCUCCACCUAAAUUCAGCCGAGCCCGAGCUCCUCUCCCUCUCCCCUCUCCACCAGCAGCCUCCCCUGAGCAAGGCGGAGCUCCCACGCUCUUUCCCUCGUCCGGGGACGCACCGUAGCGCCAUGCCCAAACUCACCCGACGCCACCGUCCGCCGGCAUCCAAGCCGCCGUCGCCUCGACCGUCCCCGGCAGCCGUGGCAUACACGAAUGGAUGCGGCGCUCGACGCCGAGCUCAUCCAUAGCUAGAGCGUUGCCGGAGGUGCUCCGUAGCGCCGGUAGUCGUCGUCGGGGCUCUCUGCUCCCUCGGCCAGGUAAGCGCGCGGGAGGAAGACGAAGGCGAACCUGACAGGCGGGGCCCGCUCGUCAGUGGCCCAGCCACGGGGCCACGUUGGCAGGUGGAGGCGCAUUCGGUUGCUCCCGCGUCCCCGCAGCGAAGGUGUACUCCAGCUGGGCGCCUUCGACGUCGCCCCUGACACCCGCGCAGCCGAGCCGCUCGGCCGGCCCAGUGGCGCCUGCCGCUAAGCCUCGCCCGGUGCGCGCCGCCGCCGCCCAGAUCCAGCCCAUCUGGGUAAAACCCCUUUUUCCCCUUUUUCUUUUCUGUACAGCUUGUAAAAUCCACAGAUUAUUUAUUCUAAGUCCAAAUUUGAUGAUUCAAAUUCCUAUAGACUCCAUAAAUGAUGAUCUACCUGUUGGUGCAACAUGCACCUUUUUCCAGAUACUUUUUCUUCACAAAUAAUUAUCACAUCCUAUUUUUCCUAUUUCUGUGAUAAACUUUAGAAAAUCACAGAGAGCUCAAUAUUGAUCCAAAUGCCAUGAUUCCAAUUCCUAGAUGAAUCUAAGCUCAUAACCUAGUUUAUGAACAUUUUUCUUGAUGCUUUCUGUACCACAUAAAUUAUUGAGCCAUUUCUUCAUAUUUAUCAGCUUUGCAAAUUCAUAGGAAAUUCAUUUGAACUCCAAAUCCAGUGAAACCAAUUCCUAGAUGCUUCUAAAAUCCUGCUUUGUCAAAUGGGUGCCUUUGCUCAUUUUUCAAAAAAUGUAUUUCUGUACACUUCUAGCAAAUCCAUAAACCUCUCGAUUCCAUCAUAUUGAAAUGUUCGGAGAUGUCCAUUGAUCCACUUCCAAUGAAAUCACUUUGGUCAUUCCUCAUAUGACCAGAGGUAUCCAAUAAAAGUCAACUUCACAUUUUUAGAGCACAUUUAUUCUUGCCUUGUUGUGUUGCUCAUUGUGUUUGUUUCCGACGUUAGUUGACGAAGUAGACGGAGUACUUGGAGAAGGACCAGAAGACUUGAAGACUCCGAGGAACAGGCAAGCGUCCCUUUGACCAUGACUAUGAUACCCCUUUCUAUAUGCAUGUCAUUUUUAGCUCUUUAUUAUUGAUGCAUCGGAAUCAUGAUGAGAUGGUGAACCACGUGGGUUGGUUGCCACGAUUACUCCCUCAUUGAUACUUGCAUUGUGCAUGGCCCUACCUUCUUAUGAGGGUUAUGCCGGUGGGAGUAGAUAGGAUGCUAGUAGUGCUACGCAAAAGGGACGGGGAUAUGCAUGGUGAUGGAGACAAAAUAUUUUCAAAGACUUUUGAAAACCCCGUCGGGUGCCACUUAUGCCCGAGGGAGAUGAUGAGAUGGGUGACCACUUGAUGACGAAGUGGUGUGCCAAGCAAAGGGUGUGUUGAUUUCAAAACGGAUUGGUCGGAGUUGCGACCGUUAUUCCAGCCUUACAUGCGCGACCACUCUACCCUUAUAUGGGAAAGGGCAUUGUUGAGUACCUAGACCGAUACUAUCUUGGAGCCCGCAUUACUAGUGACGGGGGAGAGUUGGUGCUCUCUCUUGGGACGGGGUCGUGCCAGGUAGGGCGGCCAUGACCAUCUUUAUGGGGCACCGGACACACCGUUGGUACCCCGUGCCAGUGGUAUGUGAUGAAUAUGGGAGCAAGGCUCCACGAAAAUGUUAUGUGAAAUGUUGGGCACGGGGGUUACUGCCAAUCGAGUGGACUCCAUGUUAGUGUCGUCUAGGGAAAGAUAGUGAUCAGGUGCUUACCCCGGGUACUUGAGGUACCGCGGGUCGUGGAUUGACACGGAAGUUCCCCGGAUCUAGUGGGUAAAGUGUGCAACCUCUGCAGAGUGUAAAACUAUUCGAAUAGCCGUGUCCACGGUCAAGGACAGUUGGGUAACCGCUCUUGGGCCACGUCCACUUGUUUUCAAACAUGGUGUGUGUGAG
rnacentral:lncRNA from 1 species